AUUGAACGCUGGCGGCAUGCUUUACACAUGCAAGUCGAACGGUAACAGGCCGCAAGGUGCUGACGAGUGGCGAACGGGUGAGUAAUGCAUCGGAACGUGCCCAGUCGUGGGGGAUAACGCAGCGAAAGCUGUGCUAAUACCGCAUACGAUCUAUGGAUGAAAGCGGGGGACCGUAAGGCCUCGCGCGAUUGGAGCGGCCGAUGUCAGAUUAGGUAGUUGGUGGGGUAAAGGCUCACCAAGCCAACGAUCUGUAGCUGGUCUGAGAGGACGGCCAGCCACACGGGGACGGAGACACGGCCCAGACUCCUACGGGAGGCAGCAGUGGGGAAUUUUGGACAAUGGGCGCAAGCCUGAUCCAGCAAUGCCGCGUGCAGGAAGAAGGCCUUCGGGUUGUAAACUGCUUUUGUACGGAACGAAAAGGUUUGGGUUAAUACCCUGGGCCGAUGACGGUACCGUAAGAAUAAGCACCGGCUAACUACGUGCCAGCCGCCGCAGUAA
rnacentral:rRNA from 1 species